rnacentral:tRNA from 1 species
GGGGUUGUAGCUCAGUGGUAGAGUGCUUAUCUAGCACGUUCGAGGGCCUGGGUUCGAUUCUCAGCAUCACAU